GUUUGUUCUCCUCCUGCUGUUUUUAUGAAUUAGAAGAGGAGGGAAGCAUGGGGCAGCCUCUGUCUUGGUGCCCAAAACCGUCAGGAGGUGGGAGCAUCCUCCCAGAGAAUUAUCUGAUAUUAUUCCAGCCUCAGUUUUUCUGGGAAGCCAAAUUCCUCCAGGGCCCUGGGGCCCCACGUUCCCACCCCUGAACCUUAAGUAAAGUCUCUCCCCCGACUUCUAAAUAUCAGCGCCUUAACCUGCGGUUAUGACUCCAUGUGGGGGAGUUGCAUAGUUGAAUGAGGAGAGUUUCGAAAGCAUUGGCAACAGUGGAGUUUCUGACAAACAACGUGUGAGGGAGCUGAGGGGUUUUCAGCUGCGUUCACCCGUGUUGCGUGUGCUGCUGUCUUGGCACCAUGCAUGCAGUCAUGCCACACGAUGCCAGGGAUCACCGCCUGAACACAUCAAGUCAGGGUCUUGUUACACAGUGCCAACUACCCUGGAACCUGCUAAAUAAUCCACACUGGUCUCAAACUCAAGAUUUUGUCGCCUCGGCCUCCCAAGAGCUGGGAUGGUGGGCACCUGCCAUCCAGCUAGAACAAGCUUUGUCUGUCAUGCAGGGCUGUUUCAGAGGGGACUAGCUUUGGACUGGCUCCCCUGGCACUUUCCAUCAACAAACAUCACUGGUAUGGUAGGCUGUGUCAGCCCCUGACGCACAGAAAGGUGUGCAGGACAGCACAUUUCAGUCCUCCACCCAAGUCGGGGCUAAGGGGACGGAGAGUAGAGGCGUGCUCGCUAGGCCCAGGAAACAGCACUUAACAGCAGACAGCUGGCUCACACAACAGAGCUUUUCCCGGAGGAAGAUCUGGAUAAUGAGCAAGAGGGCGGCUGGGAAAAGGGGUGGAAAGGAUAUCCAAGACCGUGGGAACACCUCAUGCAAAGACUCGGAGCCAAGAUGUGAUCUCUCAGCUUCCUGUUCCUGCCCUGGUGCCAGCUACUUGUGCCACGCCUCCCCACUGUGAUGGGCUCCUAUCCCCCUGGAACUUUGAGCCAAAAUAAACUCUUUCUUCCGUGA